UCCGAAGACCUGCUGCGGAGCCCCAUCGCUUAUAACAACAAUACUAACACGAAAGAACAGUAAAAUGACAAAAGGGCUGUGGAGGAGGGUUUAAAACACAGACGGCGCUGCUCAGACUCGAGGCUACAGAACUAGCGGUCAGGUUGGGUGAGCCUCUGAAACAGAACAAAACCAAUUCUACCUACCUUUUUCGAGUAAACGACCACCCACCUGUCCGGCCGGAUAUUGGUGGACGACUGACUGUCGAGCUCUCA